rnacentral:lncRNA from 1 species
AUAGAUUUUUCACCUUUUGUCUUUUCAUCUUUGUGGUACAUACACUUAGUAAAAAAGAGGAAGGUUACAUCCUCACCAUCAAUGUACUCAAAUAGAAGCCAAGAAUGAUCUUUAAACGAUGACUGCUGAAAUCUAAGCACCAAAGAAAGCUAAAAGGAGGACAGUGACAAGAAAAGGUGCUCACACAAGUCUGGAACUACCAGUGGAACCAGUUAGUCCUUCAGUCAAAUGUGUAUGCAAUCAAUUAAAUUCCAACUGUAAAACUGUAUUGAAAGUACAGAAAGAAAAAGCUGCCAGUAGGUCACUGAACAGUGUGUGUUUGAUGAAAUACUUUCUCUGGUUGCAUAUUUGAGAAAACCCAUUAUCUCCUUCCCUAGCAAAAGAAGACAAGGCUCUAGAACAUUAAGAACGUAGUGUUUUCCUUGUGAAGGUGGUUAUGUGGUACAGGAGGGGCUC